rnacentral:rRNA from 1 species
ACGCGUUGGGAGCUCUCCCAUAUGGUCGACCUGCAGGCGGCCGCGAAUUCACUAGUGAUUAGAGUUUGAUCAUGGCUCAGAUUGAACGCUGGCGGCAGGCCUAACACAUGCAAGUCGAGCGGCAGCGGGGGGAAGCUUGCUUCCCUGCCGGCGAGCGGCGGACGGGUGAGUAAUGUCUGGGGAUCUGCCCGAUGGAGGGGGAUAACCACUGGAAACGGUGGCUAAUACCGCAUAACCUCUUUGGAGUAAAGUGGGGGACCUUCGGGCCUCACGCCAUCGGAUGAACCCAGAUGGGAUUAGCUAGUAGGUGGGGUAAUGGCUCACCUAGGCGACGAUCCCUAGCUGGUCUGAGAGGAUGACCAGCCACACUGGGACUGAGACACGGCCCAGACUCCUACGGGAGGCAGCAGUGGGGAAUAUUGCACAAUGGGCGCAAGCCUGAUGCAGCCAUGCCGCGUGUAUGAAGAAGGCCUUCGGGUUGUAAAGUACUUUCAGCGGGGAGGAAGGCAACAGCGUGAAUAGCGUUGUUGAUUGACGUUACCCGCAGAAGAAGCACCGGCUAACUCCGUGCCAGCAGCCGCGGUAAUACGAAUCGAAUUCCCGCGGCCGCCAUGGCGGCCGGGAGCAUGCGAC